GCUAAAGUGCUAGCAGCUAGCAGCAUAACGUUCAAGUUCGGUCCGGGGAGGAUUUCAUUGACAGAUAAAAAUGUCCGGAAUUUUAUCGUUUUUCGGGAGACCAAUAAGCAUCCUUAAAAUGCUUGGAAUACACCAGCCUUUCUCCUUGCCAUCGGGUAAUAAGAUUAGAAAGAAGAGGAAGACGAAGCCUUUCUCCUCCAGGCGGAGCUGCUGCCUGGUGGUCGGUUCGGAGCGAAUGGCGUAGGAGUGCGCGAUUUCAACUGAGAAGCCUGCAGAAAACCCUACCCUUAGUGUGUCUGUGCCCUUGACCUUGUCCUGCGACCUUUGACCCUGACUUUAAUCCUCUCAGCCCUCCUCUGAGCUCGUUGUUUCAUGCCUGGUCAUGCACAGUAGCAGCAGCAGCAGCAGCAGCCGCCAACACGUUUGUUUCAGAAAGAUGCAGCCUGAGCCGUCAGCAGACAGCUUAGAGCUACAAAUCACAAGAUGCUGAAUAAGACGUUAGUUUCUGGUGAAAACUCAUCAGUUUAAGAACAAACUUCAGCAAAACAUUCAGCUUUAUUUGUCGAAGCUUCUCCCUAUUAACCGUGGAGCAUUUCCUGAAGUUCCUCCACCUCUCUUCAGCUCAACCCAACCCCACAGGGAGCUCCUGUUCGCGCUGCGGACGCCAUUUCGUCGAGUCUGCCCCCCGCUGAGCUGCGGGUCGAUUUUAAGCCAACAUGCACCAUUAACGAAGCCAUACUGGCCUUUGUGGUGGAUGGGGGGUGAAGAACGCACCCCGCUGGCGCUGGAGGCUCGGACCGAGCAUCAAGCCUCACAGAAGGGUUUUACUGCUCUGGCAGCCCUAAUGAGGAGGAGCAGGAAGAAACAAGUGAUCCUGGGAAGGGACUCUCUUAUUUGUCCUGGAAAAACAGCUUAAUGCAGAAUGAGCUGCUUUACGGUGUGAUGUCUCUAAAUCCUUGCAAGUUGCUGCAGGCCACAGCCCCCAAAUCAAAUUUGCUUUCUCACACCAAAAUGGCUUCAAACAGAUGUGCAAUUAUACAACCUUACAUCGUCGAAAAGCAGAAGUGGAGCCUGCUGUCAACCAACAAGAAUCCAGCAAAUGGUUUCUGGAGGACCCGCGUGUGUGGUUCUGAUCCAGUUUUUCCUCAGGACCUGCCUGGCAUUGUGCUGCUUCCUGUCCUGGCAGACAUUAUGGGGACAAAUAAGAGACGGACGUGUGCGCAGAGACACACAGAAAUACACAC